AGCAGCCGCGGUAAUUCCAGCUCCAAUAGCGUAUAUUAAAGUUGCUGCAGUUAAAAAGCUCGUAGUUGAAUUUCGGGACUAAUAUGUCGGUCGUGCCUCGGUACGUACUGGCAUUGUUGGUUUCUCCCUUCUGACGAACCAUGAUGUCAUUUAUUUGGUGUCGUGGGAAAUCAGGACUGUUACUUUGAAAAAAUUAGAGUGUUUAAAGCAGGCUCACGCUUGAAUACAUUAGCAUGGAAUAAUGAAAUAGGACGUUUGAUUCUAUUUUGUUGGUUUCUAGGAUCGACGUAAUGAUUAAUAGGGAUAGUUGGGGGCAUUAGUAUUCAAUUGUCAGAGGUGAAAUUCUUGGAUUUAUUGAAGACUAACUACUGCGAAAGCAUUUGCCAAGGAUGCUUUCAUUAAUCAAGAACGAAAGUUAGGGGAUCGAAGACGAUCAGAUACCGUCGUAGUCUUAACCAUAAACUAUGCCGACUAGGGAUCGGAUGAUGUUAAUUUUUUAAUGACUCAUUCGGCGCCUUAC
rnacentral:misc_RNA from 2 species